rnacentral:rRNA from 1 species
ACGAACGCUGGCGGCGUGCCUAAUACAUGCAAGUCGAACGCUUCUUUUUCCAUCGGAGCUUGCUCCACCGGAAAAAGAGGAGUGGCGAACGGGUGAGUAACACGUGGGUAACCUGCCCAUCAGAAGGGGAUAACACUUGGAAACAGGUGCUAAUACCGUAUAACAAUCGAAACCGCAUGGUUUUGAUUUGAAAGGCGCUUUCGGGUGUCGCUGAUGGAUGGACCCGCGGUGCAUUAGCUAGUUGGUGAGGUAACGGCUCACCAAGGCGACGAUGCAUAGCCGACCUGAGAGGGUGAUCGGCCACAUUGGGACUGAGACACGGCCCAAACUCCUACGGGAGGCAGCAGUAGGGAAUCUUCGGCAAUGGACGAAAGUCUGACCGAGCAACGCCGCGUGAGUGAAGAAGGUUUUCGGAUCGUAAAGCUCUGUUGUUAGAGAAGAACAAGGAUGAGAGUAACUGUUCAUCCCUUGACGGUAACUAACCAGAAAGCCACGGCUAACUACGUGCCAGCAGCCGCGGUAAUACGUAGGUGGCAAGCGUUGUCCGGAUUUAUUGGGCGUAAAGCGAGCGCAGGCGGUUUCUUAAGUCUGAUGUGAAAGCCCCCGGCUCAACCGGGGAGGGUCAUUGGAAACUGGGAGACUUGAGUGCAGAAGAGGAGAGUGGAAUUCCAUGUGUAGCGGUGAAAUGCGUAGAUAUAUGGAGGAACACCAGUGGCGAAGGCGGCUCUCUGGUCUGUAACUGACGCUGAGGCUCGAAAGCGUGGGGAGCAAACAGGAUUAGAUACCCUGGUAGUCCACGCCGUAAACGAUGAGUGCUAAGUGUUGGAGGGUUUCCGCCCUUCGGUGCUGCAGCUAACGCAUUAAGCACUCCGCCUGGGGAGUACGACCGCAAGGUUGAAACUCAAAGGAAUUGACGGGGGCCCGCACAAGCGGUGGAGCAUGUGGUUUAAUUCGAAGCAACGCGAAGAACCUUACCAGGUCUUGACAUCCUUUGACCACUCUAGAGAUAGAGCUUCCCCUUCGGGGGCAAAGUGACAGGUGGUGCAUGGUUGUCGUCAGCUCGUGUCGUGAGAUGUUGGGUUAAGUCCCGCAACGAGCGCAACCCUUAUUGUUAGUUGCCAUCAUUUAGUUGGGCACUCUAGCAAGACUGCCGGUGACAAACCGGAGGAAGGUGGGGAUGACGUCAAAUCAUCAUGCCCCUUAUGACCUGGGCUACACACGUGCUACAAUGGGAAGUACAACGAGUCGCAAAGUCGCGAGGCUAAGCUAAUCUCUUAAAGCUUCUCUCAGUUCGGAUUGUAGGCUGCAACUCGCCUACAUGAAGCCGGAAUCGCUAGUAAUCGCGGAUCAGCACGCCGCGGUGAAUACGUUCCCGGGCCUUGUACACACCGCCCGUCACACCACGAGAGUUUGUAACACCCGAAGUCGGUGAGGUAACCUUUUGGAGCCAGCCGCCUAAGGUGGGAUAGAUGAUUGGGGUG